UUGGGUAGGGGAGCGUUCUGUAAGCCUGCGAAGGUGUGCUGUGAGGCAUGCUGGAGGUAUCAGAAGUGCGAAUGCUGACAUAAGUAACGAUAAAGCGGGUGAAAAGCCCGCUCGCCGGAAGACCAAGGGUUCCUGUCCAACGUUAAUCGGGGCAGGGUGAGUCGACCCCUAAGGCGAGGCCGAAAGGCGUAGUCGAUGGGAAACAGGUUAAUAUUCCUGUACUUGGUGUUACUGCGAAGGGGGGACGGAGAAGGCUAUGUUGGCCGGGCGACGGUUGUCCCGGUUUAAGCGUGUAGGCUGGUUUUCCAGGCAAAUCCGGAAAACCAAGGCUGAGGCGUGAUGACGAGGCACUACGGUGCUGAAGCGACAAAUGCCCUGCUUCCAGGAAAAGCCUCUAAGCAUCAGGUAACAUCAAAUCGUACCCCAAACCGACACAGGUGGUCAGGUAGAGAAUACCAAGGCGCUUGAGAGAACUCGGGUGAAGGAACUAGGCAAAAUGGUGCCGUAACUUCGGGAGAAGGCACGCUGAUAUGUAGGUGAAGCGACUUGCUCGUGGAGCUGAAAUCAGUCGAAGAUACCAGCUGGCUGCAACUGUUUAUUAAAAACACAGCACUGUGCAAACACGAAAGUGGACGUAUACGGUGUGACGCCUGCCCGGUGCCGGAAGGUUAAUUGAUGGGGUUAGCGGCAACGCGAAGCUCUUGAUCGAAGCCCCGGUAAACGGCGGCCGUAACUAUAACGGUCCUAAGGUAGCGAAAUUCCUUGUCGGGUAAGUUCCGACCUGCACGAAUGGCGUAAUGAUGGCCAGGCUGUCUCCACCCGAGACUCAGUGAAAUUGAACUCGCUGUGAAGAUGCAGUGUACCCGCGGCAAGACGGAAAGACCCCGUGAACCUUUACUAUAGCUUGACACUGAACAUUGAGCCUUGAUGUGUAGGAUAGGUGGGAGGCUUUGAAGUGUGGACGCCAGUCUGCAUGGAGCCGACCUUGAAAUACCACCCUUUAAUGUUUGAUGUUCUAACGUUGGCCCCUAAUCGGGGUUGCGGACAGUGUCUGGUGGGUAGUUUGACUGGGGCGGUCUCCUCCUAAAGAGUAACGGAGGAGCACGAAGGUUGGCUAAUCCUGGUCGGACAUCAGGAGGUUAGUGCAAUGGCAUAAGCCAGCUUGACUGCGAGCGUGACGGCGCGAGCAGGUGCGAAAGCAGGUCAUAGUGAUCCGGUGGUUCUGAAUGGAAGGGCCAUCGCUCAACGGAUAAAAGGUACUCCGGGGAUAACAGGCUGAUACCGCCCAAGAGUUCAUAUCGACGGCGGUGUUUGGCACCUCGAUGUCGGCUCAUCACAUCCUGGGGCUGAAGUAGGUCCCAAGGGUAUGGCUGUUCGCCAUUUAAAGUGGUACGCGAGCUGGGUUUAGAACGUCGUGAGACAGUUCGGUCCCUAUCUGCCGUGGGCGCUGGAGAACUGAGGGGGGCUGCUCCUAGUACGAGAGGACCGGAGUGGACGCAUCACUGGUGUUCGGGUUGUCAUGCCAAUGGCACUGCCCGGUAGCUAAAUGCGGAAGAGAUAAGUGCUGAAAGCAUCUAAGCACGAAACUUGCCCCGAGAUG
rnacentral:rRNA from 1 species